rnacentral:rRNA from 1 species
AUGAACGCUAGCUACAGGCUUAACACAUGCAAGUCGAGGGGCAGCAUGGUCUUAGCUUGCUAAGGCCGAUGGCGACCGGCGCACGGGUGAGUAACACGUAUCCAACCUGCCGUCUACUCUUGGACAGCCUUCUGAAAGGAAGAUUAAUACAAGAUGGCAUCAUGAGUCCGCAUGUUCACAUGAUUAAAGGUAUUCCGGUAGACGAUGGGGAUGCGUUCCAUUAGAUAGUAGGCGGGGUAACGGCCCACCUAGUCUUCGAUGGAUAGGGGUUCUGAGAGGAAGGUCCCCCACAUUGGAACUGAGACACGGUCCAAACUCCUACGGGAGGCAGCAGUGAGGAAUAUUGGUCAAUGGGCGAGAGCCUGAACCAGCCAAGUAGCGUGAAGGAUGACUGCCCUAUGGGUUGUAAACUUCUUUUAUAAAGGAAUAAAGUCGGGUAUGGAUACCCGUUUGCAUGUACUUUAUGAAUAAGGAUCGGCUAACUCCGUGCCAGCAGCCGCGGUAAUACGGAGGAUCCGAGCGUUAUCCGGAUUUAUUGGGUUUAAAGGGAGCGUAGAUGGAUGUUUAAGUCAGUUGUGAAAGUUUGCGGCUCAACCGUAAAAUUGCAGUUGAUACUGGAUAUCUUGAGUGCAGUUGAGGCAGGCGGAAUUCGUGGUGUAGCGGUGAAAUGCUUAGAUAUCACGAAGAACUCCGAUUGCGAAGGCAGCCUGCUAAGCUGCAACUGACAUUGAGGCUCGAAAGUGUGGGUAUCAAACAGGAUUAGAUACCCUGGUAGUCCACACGGUAAACGAUGAAUACUCGCUGUUUGCGAUAUACUGCAAGCGGCCAAGCGAAAGCGUUAAGUAUUCCACCUGGGGAGUACGCCGGCAACGGUGAAGCUCAAAGGAAUUGACGGGGGCCCGCACAAGCGGAGGAACAUGUGGUUUAAUUCGAUGAUACGCGAGGAACCUUACCCGGGCUUAAAUUGCAGAUGAAUUACGGUGAAAGCCGUAAGCCGCAAGGCAUCUGUGAAGGUGCUGCAUGGUUGUCGUCAGCUCGUGCCGUGAGGUGUCGGCUUAAGUGCCAUAACGAGCGCAACCCUUGUUGUCAGUUACUAACAGGUUCCGCUGAGGACUCUGACAAGACUGCCAUCGUAAGAUGUGAGGAAGGUGGGGAUGACGUCAAAUCAGCACGGCCCUUACGUCCGGGGCUACACACGUGUUACAAUGGGGGGUACAGAGGGCCGCUACCACGCGAGUGGAUGCCAAUCCCCAAAACCUCUCUCAGUUCGGACUGGAGUCUGCAACCCGACUCCACGAAGCUGGAUUCGCUAGUAAUCGCGCAUCAGCCACGGCGCGGUGAAUACGUUCCCGGGCCUUGUACACACCGCCCGUCAAGCCAUGGGAGCCGGGGGUACCUGAAGUGCGUAACCGCGAGGAGCGCCCUAGGGUAAAACUGGUGACUGGGGCU